AGUGCAUGUAUGCCUGGCAGUGCGCUGGGGUCAGCAAAGCAGGCAACACUCAGAGGCAAGGUGGUGGCAUCAGGACUCCUCAUGCUAGGCCUGAAUUCUUACUAAAGGAGCAAGCCAUCAUUGCAGAGGAAUUACAACCCGGCCUCUGUUUAAACAGGGGGCUUUUAGGACUACACUGAGCUGCAGGCAGAGCUGUGGGCAGCUGAGUGGGAAAGCACCCAGCGCCUCCAGGGCUUAGCUUGGUUGGGUAAAUGAGGGUUGACUAGCUGGGAAAAAGCCAGCAUUGUGAGGGGCCAACUGUAGGCUGCUGCGGGAGACCCACGAGUGGAACGGGAUCCUGUCGGAACGGUGUGUGUAUUUAUUCUGGCAGCUUCCUUCGUAAAGCCAUGCUAAGCCCCAUCUGGGAUACUGUCAGGCCUCUCUGAAUUAGGACUGAAGCUACUGCCCUAGGAUUGGGCCAAGAAUUUGUGGUAGCCAUGGCAACAGCACCUUCUCCUACCUGAGCAGGAUUUUCUUCAGCGUUCAGGGGAGACCCAAGAGGGCCCAGGGAGACUGAAAACCAAGAAGAACUGAGAACUGGCUGCAACUUUCAAUGUGUUCCCCAACUUUCACACAGACCAAAUUGGUAGAGGGAUGGAGACCUCAUCAGAUGACCCCAGUGCGCUUUCCACUGAACCAUAUGUCAAAGACACUGGAGAAACGUGAGGCCAUGAAGUGAUACUGGAUUCCAGUUGAGUGACAUGUUAUUUUGUGUGCUUCCAAGCUAUAUUGUUGCGGCAGUGUGGCUUAGUAGGAACACAGGUUUGCAUCAGACAGAAUGGGGUUUUAAUCCCAGCUCUCUCUCUUACUAUUUGUGUGAAUUUGACAAGUUAUGCAACUUCUCUGUAUCUUAGUCAAUCCUUGUAAAAUUCCAGUGAAGUAGGCAUUAUUACUGUCCUCAUGUUCUAAAAUGCAGUGGCAUGGAGACUUUUUAAUCUGUAAAAUCUUUUUUUUGGGUGAGGACUAAAAAUUAUAAUUGCUAUAAAGGAUAUACCACAUGGUAGGUGCUUAAUAAAUAGUUUUUUAAGUUUGU
rnacentral:lncRNA from 1 species